GACGAACGCUGGCGGCGUGCUUAACACAUGCAAGUCGAACGGAAAGGCCCUGCUUUUGUGGGGUGCUCGAGUGGCGAACGGGUGAGUAACACGUGAGUAACCUGCCCUUGACUUUGGGAUAACUUCAGGAAACUGGGGCUAAUACCGGAUAGGAGCUCCUGCUGCAUGGUGGGGGUUGGAAAGUUUCGGCGGUUGGGGAUGGACUCGCGGGUUAUCAGCUUGUUGGUGGGGUAGUGGCUUACCAAGGCUUUGACGGGUAGCCGGCCUGAGAGGGUGACCGGCCACAUGGGGACUGCGAUACGGCCCAGACUCCUACGGGAGGCAGCAGUGGGGAAUAUUGCACAACGGGCGGAAGCCUGAUGCAGAAACGUCGCGUGCGGGAUGACGGCCUUCGGGUUGUAAACCGCUUUCGCCUGUGACGAAGCGUGAGUGACGGUAAUGGGUAAAGAAGCACCGGCUAACUACGUG
rnacentral:rRNA from 1 species